CUUGUGGCCCAAUUGGAUAAGGCGUCGGUCUACGAAACCGGAAAUUGCAAGUUCAAAUCUUGCCUGGU
rnacentral:tRNA from 1 species